GAGAGUAUAGCUCAAGUGGUAGAGAGCAUGCUUAGGAUGCAUGAGGUCCUGAGUUCAACCCCUAGUACCUUCU
rnacentral:tRNA from 1 species